UCUGGCGGCAAUGGCGUGAUGGACACACCCGUACCCAUCCCGAACACGGAAGUUAAGCAUCACAGCGGCGACGAUAGUCAGCGAUGGCCAAAAUAGCACGCUGCCAGUU
rnacentral:rRNA from 1 species